GGUUGCUUAGUGUAGUGGUUAUCACGUUUCCUUUACACGGAAAAGGCCGCGAGUUCGAACCUCGCAGUGACCA